rnacentral:rRNA from 1 species
UAUGUUUGUGUGCAGCCGCCGCGGUAAUACGGAAGGUCCGGGCGUUAUCCGGAUUUAUUGGGUUUAAAGGGAGCGCAGGCGGACCUUUAAGUCAGCUGUGAAAUACGGCGGCUCAACCGUCGAACUGCAGUUGAUACUGGAGGUCUUGAGUGCACACAGGGAUGCUGGAAUUCAUGGUGUAGCGGUGAAAUGCUCAGAUAUCAUGAAGAACUCCGAUCGCGAAGGCAGGCAUCCGGGGUGCAACUGACGCUGAGGCUCGAAAGUGCGGGUAUCAAACAGG